AGUCAACGCUGGCGGCGUGCCUCAGACAUGCAAGUCGAACGAUUAAAGCUCUCUUCGGAGAGUGCAUAGAGUGGCGUACGGGUGAGUAACACGUAAGUAAUCUACCUUUGAGUGGGGAAUAACAGUCGGAAACGACUGCUAAUACCGCAUACUGCAGAGGCAUCGCAAGAUGACAGUUGGUAAAGGGGCAAUCCGCUUAAAGAGGAGCUUGCGGCAGAUUAGCUUGUUGGUAAGGUAACGGCUUACCAAGGCUACGAUCUGUAUCCGGUCUUAGAGGACGGUCGGACACACUGGCACUGAACAACGGGUCAGACUCCUACGGGAGGCAGCAGCCGGGAAUUUUGGACAAUGGGCGAAAGCCUGAUCCAGCCAUGCCGCGUGAGUGAUGAAGGCCCUAGGGUUGUAAAGCUCUUUCACCGAUGAAGAUAAUGACGGUAGUCGGAGAAGAAGCCCCGGCUAACUUCGUGCCAGCAGCCGCCGUAA
rnacentral:rRNA from 1 species